UAGGGAAUAUUGGGCAAUGGGCGAAAGCCUGACCCAGCCAUGCCGCGUGCAGGAUUGAAUGCUCUAUGAGUUGUAAACUGCUUUUGUCUGUGACGAACAAGCCUUUUUCUAGAGGCCCUGACGGUAACAGACGAAUAAGGACCGGCUAACUCCGUGCCAGCAGCCGCGGUAAUACGGAGGGUCCAAGCGUUAUCCGGAUUUACUGGGUUUAAAGGGUGCGUAGGUGGCUUGGUAAGUCAGUGGUGAAAUCCUACAGCUUAACUGUAGAACUGCCAUUGAAACUACCAGGCUUGAGUGUCGUUGAGGCGAGUGGAAUGUAACAUGUAGCGGUGAAAUGCUUAGAUAUGUUACAGAACACCAAUUGUGAAGACAGCUCGCUGGACGAUAACUGACACUGAGGCACGAAAGCGUGGGGAGCGAACAGG
rnacentral:rRNA from 1 species